rnacentral:siRNA from 1 species
AGGAGCCAUCCCAAUACUCGCCUG